AUUGAACGCUGGCGGCAUGCCUUACACAUGCAAGUCGAACGGUAACAGGUCUUCGGAUGCUGACGAGUGGCGAACGGGUGAGUAAUACAUCGGAACGUGCCCAGACGUGGGGGAUAACGAGGCGAAAGCUUUGCUAAUACCGCAUACGAUCUAAGGAUGAAAGCAGGGGACCGCAAGGCCUUGUGCGUUUGGAGCGGCCGAUGGCGGAUUAGGUAGUUGGUGGGAUAAAAGCUUACCAAGCCGACGAUCUGUAGCUGGUCUGAGAGGACGACCAGCCACACUGGGACUGAGACACGGCCCAGACUCCUACGGGAGGCAGCAGUGGGGAAUUUUGGACAAUGGGCGAAAGCCUGAUCCAGCAAUGCCGCGUGCAGGAUGAAGGCCUUCGGGUUGUAAACUGCUUUUGUACGGAACGAAAAGGCUCUGGCUAAUACCUGGGGCACAUGACGGUACCGUAAGAAUAAGCACCGGCUAACUACGUG
rnacentral:rRNA from 1 species